GAUGAACGCUGGCGGCGUGCUUAACACAUGCAAGUCGAACGGAAAGGCUCCUGCUUGCAGGGGUACUCGAGUGGCGAACGGGUGAGUAACACGUGGGUGAUCUGCCCUGCACUUCGGGAUAAGCCUGGGAAACUGGGUCUAAUACCGGAUAGGACGAUGGUUUGGAUGCCAUUGUGGAAAGUUUUUUCGGUGUGGGAUGAGCUCGCGGCCUAUCAGCUUGUUGGUGGGGUAAUGGCCUACCAAGGCGUCGACGGGUAGCCGGCCUGAGAGGGGGUACGGCCACAUUGGGCCUGAGAUGCGGCCCAGACUCCUACGGGAGGCAGCAGUGGGGAAUAUUGCACAAUGGGCGGAAGCCUGAUGCAGCGACGCCGCGUGGGGGAUGACGGCCUUCGGUUUGUAUACUCCUUUCGCUAGGGACGAAGCGCAAGUGACGGUACCUGGAGAAGAAGCACCGGCUAACUACGUG
rnacentral:rRNA from 1 species